rnacentral:lncRNA from 1 species
AUACAUCUGGCACAGCAAGGCUAGCAACCCCUUUGUCAACUUGAGGAAGGAAUACAAGGGCAUCUUCUGGCAGGAGGACAUCAUCCCCUUCUUCCAGAACGUGACCAUCCCCAAGGAUUGCGACACUGUCCAGAAGUGCUACAUCUACCUCUCUGGACAGGUGAAGGAGAAGCUGGGCACGAUUGACCCCUACUUUGUCAAGCUCGCCGACGCCAUGGUCACCUGGAUUGAGGCCUGGGAUGAGCUGAACCCAGCUACCCCUGCCACCGAGAAUGGCAAGGCCAAGUAGAUGGGAGUUCCAGGGGUGCCUUCACUGCCCACUGAAGUGAAAAGAAAGUAUGAUUGGGUCCUGCCUAGGCCCCAUAGAUAUAGCUCUUUUUGAGAGGGAAGAGAGAUUAAUUCAGCAG